rnacentral:lncRNA from 1 species
AAAUUACAUAAAUGCCCACCAUUCAUGCCGACCAGAUACGUAAAAAUCCUACUUUCCAAAUUUCCGCCCAGGAGAACAUGCAACAAAAUUAUGCCCAAUAGCAAAAUGAAAACAAUUGUCACCUUAAAGAUUAACAUUAAAAAAAUCAAGACCUGGUUUGACCAGCACAGAGAAUCCAUGCUUUAUUGUUCAAUAAGUAUGUUUCACCAAGAAAAAACAAGAGAGACAUUAGUAAUGGAGCAACCGGCCUGGCCGAAUCAAGAGCUACGGACCCCACCAUGGAUUUAAAGGCAGGCAAUGUCAUGGUGAGACCCCACCGGCAUGUUAGCUUGCCGAUUAUUCAAACAUGGCUAUGAUAUUGUGCACUGUAAAAUUGCAACUAAUUCAAACUCGAGAGAAUUCAAGCUUGCAUGUUUUUUUGUAAAAAUAAAAUAUUGUACGGGUUUCCUUCCGAUGUAACUCUAGCAUGCCAUGCUUGAUCAAUAGUUCUAGGUUUGGUUUAUGUUAACAUCAUUUCAUAUAAUACUAUGCCCUUCAUAUUUAAUUCAUAUUUUAUCCAGCUAACACCAAUCGUACGGACUGCUUAUGCAAGCAUGUUAAAGCCCUUUGAAAAAGAAAGAAAUGAUCCUCCACUAACAAGACCUUUUCUUUGUCUGCUAGGUGCUAACCCAUGAAUCCUAUCAUUCCUCUCUGUGAGGUGUGAACCCUAAUCCAUGUGGGCGAACUCCAAAAUGACCUAACCUACUGGCUAAAAGUAACCCCCAGGUUUCGUUAGCCUAAACAAAAGUUGCUGCUAGCAGUCUAGCACUCUUUUGCCACUUGAGCUUGUGGGUGAGACUCCAAGUUUGGAGAUCAGAGAACUCAUUUAAAUCAUUUACUGUAAAAGGAGAGAGAACGGCAUCAGUGAAUCACAGGCACCCGCACAGUACAAAAAUAUUGCUUUCACAUGUUGCCUUUCUGUGAUUACACAUGCAUGAACUAGCAUGUUUUCUUUCUUUAGUGUGUUAAUUGUCAAGCAUGAUCAAGUACAUUCUUUCCCGUAUCUAACUAGAAGUCUAUAUUGCUAAUGGUUAUGGACUUCCUCUUCGUUUCAAAAUUUUGGUUAAUAAAUCUAAGAGUGUCAGGAAAUGGAAAUCGAAACCCGCAAGCAUCCCUUGAAUGCCUAUGUGAGGAGAAUAGAAGGAUACAUGAGAUAAUACUUCGUAUCCCAGCUAAUGUUAGAUAUUUACAGUUAUGACCUCCCCAGUUAUGCUAGUCGAUAACGGGAACAGAAGGAUAUAUAUGCCAAGCCAUACGUUUGAAUAACAGUCAAUUUUAUGGUCUUCCCUUUUCCUUCAUGGUUUCUAAUUUCCAUGUAAUUGGAAGAGUAAAUGGCCAUUUUCACCUGGUCCUUGUCAAAGUUGGAUACAUGUCUCCUUUUUAUUUCCCGUCCCAAAUUUUACAUGAUUCGGCGUAUGAGGAGUUCCAGUCACAAAAACUACAUUUCAUAUGAUCCAUGCUUUUUUUGUUUGCUUGUCUACUCGUCAAAGAAAGAAAGGAUGAUACCACAAGUAAUAGACAAUGAAAUGAUCGGGGAGCUCUUCUAGGUCAAAAAUUGGAGCCAAAAUGUUUGUGGUUUUCUUAGAACUACAGCCAUAACCGUGGGUCUCCGAUAUAAAAGAUUGCUAUGAAUGAAAAGACCGUAUACAAAUCCCAUCUGAGCUCAUAUUCUUGCCUCCAUAUUGUGGCUCCUGAGCUGUGUAGCAUAUGAAUUGCUUGAAGUCUAAUUGGCUUUUACCAAGUCCCCACCACAGUAACUAGUUCCUUGUGAAUAGAGCUAAGCACCUUGCUAAGAGUAUGGAAUGAACUUCGAAAGUUCUAAAACUUGCUUAAUUUAUUUGGGUUCGGCAUAUUUUUAAUUCUUUUCUCCUUUUUAUCGGAACAUAUCCUUUAAUUUAGUACCACUAGGACGCGUAGCGAGGGGAAAACAACAAAAUAAUCAACUUGAUAUAUGACGAUUAUUUAUAAAACACCAGUCACAGAGAAAUAUAGUGCGAGUACAGCACAACCUCCCCCUUAAGGUAAUGUGAGAAUGUCAAAGCAUCACACUUCAAAAACAUGCCAUUAUUUAAAACUCUGGCGCCCAAAACUCUCUCUAUCAUCACUGAAACGGUUCUUCGAAAACAACCAAGUAGCAACACAUCAGCACUUCUAAAUAAUCAAAAGGGCCCUUUUUUUCUGUUUUUUAGCAUGGUGCUUAGGUGUAGGUUAUUUGUCCCUAAAAAAUGCACUCUUUCCCUUAUAUCUAUUGAAACCGAAAACAGAGCAUAUGGUCCUAGCUCCUAAAGUAUCACCAUGCUUAACCAAAUAAAGAAGUAUAGUAACCUUUGGUAGCUCUAAACGAGCAUGCUUUUCAAGCCUUUUUUCCUGGUACAAAGAUUCUUUAUUUAUGAGCUAAUAAUAGUUGUGUGCGCCACAGAGAGAGAGAGAGAGAGAGAGACAGAGCAUCAAUUUUGCCGCAGAAUCUAAUUUGUGUUUCUUUGAUUUUAUUUAAGCCUGGGCCCUUUUGGACUUGGAGAGUGAGUGAAAUUUGCAUCAGAAUCCAUCAAAAUUUGUUUGAUUUUGUAUUAAGUAAUGGAGAAUCUUUAACUUAGAAUACGUCAUGUCCCUUUGGCCUUCAGUGAAGCCAAAAGUCGGCCCCUUGAUUUUUUCCCAUGAUGCAUUUUUAAUUAAGUCUUUGUUAAGAAAGACAAGUCCAGUUCAUAGCUUACAUUACACUAGCAUGUAAACAAAUCACUCUGCCUACCCUUUUGACCAUGUUAGUGCCACCUUUCCCUUUCACUUUAUACUUUGUUGCAUUAAUUUAUAUUUUAACUUCAGAAAGAACAAUAGAGAACACGUAAUACAUGCAAACAUGUAAUGCAACUAAUGGUUAUGCUAUCACUAACAGAAGGCUAAAGUAAUUCUGCAUAGAGCCCGUGAAAAACCUUUAGAAGCAACAUGUAAAUGUCAUAGUCGAAGGGAUAGGUUUGCACACAGUGACUAGAUAUAUGAGUCUGAUCUCAACUGGCAUGCAUGAUUAGUACGGAUGUUGCUCUAUUGCUAUUACAAUUAAUAAUUAUUAUAAUCUGUAAUCUAUCAUUUUCAAACUCUAGAAGACUGAUUUGAGAGUUUCUGAAUCUGGCCUGCAAGUUGUUAUAAAUGUUUUAAUUGUUGAUUUUAAAGAAAUAUUUACAUCACUAUUGUGGAAUAAUGCUACUAUUUGAUAAAGGUGAGCAUACAAAGGGAAUAAAUCUUUCAGGAUUAGUUUAGAAAACUUACAGGCAGUCAUAUGACCAUCUUAGAAGACUUGCUGCUUAAGUGUCAAGAAAAGAUGAUGACGCCUGUUUUCAUGGACCAGCAGAAUCUAUACCAUUGGAUGUAGCUCCAGUAUGAUCCUCCCUAAACUCAAACACAUUUUCAACUUAUCUACAAAGAGGAAUUAAUGCAACUUAAAUAGAAACAGUAGAUUAAUUAUGGAGUAUGAUGCCACAGAAAAUUGGUAAAAACAUCCAUUAUGCAGAUUACAAUUAACUUUUUCUCCAUCUAACCUAGUGGAUGUUGGCGGAAAUUAUAAGCAGUCCAUUUGUUAAUAUAUUCUUACCAAGAGUAAUAAAAACAACAAAUCAUAGAAAAAAAUUUAAUCAACAAUUGCAAUCCACCAACAAGGGGCCAAACCUUAUUCCAAGCUAGCAUUGCUCAAAACACAGCACAGAAAAAAUGCUGUUUUCCAAAGCAACCAUACGAGGAACAUUAGAUACAGUCCCCCAGUUGGAAAUUUAAAAUAAUAAACUGGAAGAAUGGGAAACUAAAUAACAUGUUUUUUCGAAUCUCCAUCUCAAAUAAAACCUGUUUUUCCAACCAAAUUAUCAAACUCAACAUUAUGAAAUCGAUAUCACCAGGAUCUUGCCAGUGAUUCUGCUGGGUUCAAUAUUUAUGUUCUUAAAAGAUCACUUGCAAAUAAAACUACUAUAAUCAUCAGGACUGUUAUUGCAGUAAGCCCAUCAUCUGUAAACAAGGAGAUGCAAUAAGGUUUUAAGGAACAUCAUGCAGAAUACAAAAGGCAAAUCAUUCUUGGCACAAAUUAGUACCACAUCAUGGCCAGAGUGAUAACAUCACAAGCCAAUUAUCAAGGGUACUAAUUACAAUGUCUUAAAUUCUCAACCAUUCCUAACAGGUGCCAAUUAAAGUCACUUAACUUUCUCAAACAGGUGAAUCUCACUGGAAUAAAAAUGAGAGGUAUCAAGAGAUCGGAGGGUUACUUUCUAUUUGUAAUCCAACAAUUGGACAACAAAAAAAGAAAAGACUCAAGAAUUGUCACUAACUAUAUGUCUCCAAACAGGCUCCUCUUGAGUUUUCUUUUCAUUUUUCAUUUUUCAUUUUUUCAUUUUUUUGUUACAAAAGAGAGGUUUGAACUCAAGAACUUUAGAGGGGAAGGAGAAGACUAAUACUAGUUGAGCUACAACUCAAUAGCUUGCGAUCUUUGAAUUUAAUAGGUAACUCUCCAAAACAAGUACUGCAACGCGUUGCUGAGCAGAAGUAAAAUCUUAAUCUAUUAUUGAUCUGAUGGUCUUCCCAAAAAUGGUACAAGAACUGAAUACUCCACAUAGCUUAUCAUAGAUUCAAACCCGCUCUAUCAUCUUACAAUUCUAAAAUAUCAUGCAUGCAAGAAAGAUUGAAUUCUUUCCAAAAUGAUCCAAGAACCCCAAGCUCCAAAAUUCCCAAUCCGAGAUUUGGAUCCUCACCAAUUAUCAAGUAGAUUUCUUCUUAAAAUUCCUCUACUUCUUCUAUCCAUCCAAAGUUAUGCAAUCGAAAACCUAUCAAUCAUUAAAGUGAACCAUAAUUAUAUAUACCUGCUUGAUAUAGGUAUUCAAUGAUAUGGCAACAAAUUAACUGAAAUCCAGUAAUUUAGGUAUGAAUGAAUGAUCGGUGGGAAUCACGAGAAAUAUUGAGGCAAAAAUGCGUGGGAAACCUUUCAACUACAGAUCAAGUUAAGAGAUCUCUUACAUUUCAAGAAUUGAGAUUUAGACCCCUCGAAUUGUCUAUUAAUUUACUAAAACCCCGUCCAUUUGAUUCAAUCAAUUCAGCAUCUAAGAGAUAACAAUAAAUGUAUCACCUACAAUCACAUGAUCUUCGAGAUAACAUGUUAGCUCGUGCAUGAACAACAGAACAGUUUUGAGACUACUUCAUAUCAACUCAUAAAUUCGGGAUUUCAGCACUCCUUAAUCUAUUUUUAUUUUUAUUUUAAUCAAAUUCACAAGAUACAAAUCCAACUCUACAUAUUGAAAUUCAAAUCCCGUAUCCAUGCCAAAUUACUGGAUGAGAUUAACAAUUAGAUUCCAAAUUACACUAACAAGUCAUGAACAACUUAUAAUACUCUUAAAUUACCGAUGAUGACAGCACUAAUAUAUAAAAACGAGAGACAAAUCGCUUACAAUAACAAAGUGAAGCAAAGUAACGGAUUCGCUGAUCAAUCAGACCAGCGUCAAUGGAAGCCAGGAAGGUGAAAAAUCCGGUUGGUAGUUAACUCUAAAAUCGCUCUGGGGCUGCCGCGGCAAUCGCGCGCACAACCACUGGUUUUGAUUUUGAAGCCGGGAACAUGAAAAUAAUUUGGUGCGGG